AGAGUUUGAUCCUGGCUCAGAAUCAACGCUGGCGGCGUGCCUAACACAUGCAAGUCGAACGAGAAAGUGGAGCAAUCCAUGAGUAAAGUGGCGCACGGGUGAGUAACACGUGACUAACCUACCUUGAGUGGGGGAUAACUGGGAGAAAUCCUAGCUAAUACCGCAUAACACCUACGGGUCAAAGGAGCAAUUCGCUCGAG
rnacentral:rRNA from 1 species